rnacentral:lncRNA from 1 species
UGUUGGUAAGCCCGUAAAACCAACGUAGGUUGUUGGUAACCCCGUAAAACCAACGUAGGUUGUUGGUAAGCCCGUAAAACCAACGUAGGUUGUUGGUAAGCCCGUAAAACCAAUUGUGAAGGUUCGUUGGUGAGCCCGUAAAACCAACAUAGGUUCUUGGUGAUCCCGAAAAACCAAAUUGUAAAAGUUUUGGAUUGUGAGCCCGGAAAACAAUCCUACUGUAAUCCGAGGGGUUAUAGUAAAAUUCCCAAGGGGACGCUUGGGGAGUGGACGUAGGUGCCUUGGGGUGCACCGAACCACUAUAUAUCACUGUGUUUGUGUUGUGCUUGUUCUUAUGCUUAUUCUUACAUUAUCUUUCAUCUUUACUCUAGUUUAAUUCAUUCAAGUAAUUUAAGAAAACAUUUAAAGCACCAAAAAUUUAAAAAAACCCAAUUCACCCCCCCCUCUUGGGUUGUCACCUUGGGCAAUAAUGGAUGAACUGCCCAUCACGCAUCUUGGCUUUGAAGAGCCGCUUGGACACUUCAAACCUUGCUGUGCGACUCUGUUCACCAUACAACUCUUGUAGGUGAUCAAGUAUGUCCUUAGCAGUCUUCAUGUUCUCAUGCUGGCAUUGCAAUUCGUUGGACAUUGAUGCCAAAAUGUAGCAUCUAACUUUAUUGUCGUCAUCCAACCAUAUUGCAUGCGUCUCACGCUGCUCAUUGGUUGCACGGGUUGGUAACACCGGGAGUUCAUGGUUAAGAACAUAAGCUAUCUUUUCGCAACUCAAGACAAUCUUCAAGUUGCGGAGCCAAUCUUUAUAGUUUGAUCCGGUCAACCUAUUGUUAUCUAGAAUUCGAACUAUCGGGUUGGAAGCCAUUGACAUCUGCAGAGAGUAAAGAUUCUAAUUAGAAAUUUAUAUUUGACAUUAAUUUGUUUUAAAGACUUUUAAAACAAAAUUGGAUCAAAUCCUCCCACUAUUUCUCGGAUCUCUCACACUCCCCUAGUAAAGAUACGGAAACCUGCGACUUAGGAUUUCGAGUGGGGUGCUGCGGUCCCACCAAUCUACAUGUCACCUCACCUAACAGUUAUUGGAGACACAUAGACGAUGAGUGUACAACUCUUGUACAAUGCUUCGUAAGCAUAUUGAGCUAACCUGGUCUCCAAGUCAUAAGAACCUCACCUAACAGUUAUUGGACCCGUUCCUUGGUUAAGUCAAACCUACCGUAUAUCCCGUGAAAAUAAAGCUGUGAUUGGGUCCUCACCUAACAGUUAUUGGAGCCCAACCCUACCUUUACCCUACAACAUCUCAUGAUAAUAGAGAGGUCCAAUCCCCCGAUGCAACUAGCCCACUGUAUCCAGCCGAAACUAAUCAACGUCGGAAAGAUCAUAGCAACUCUACUACGGUGGAAGACCAAUCGACUUAAUAUUGGGUAAUCAGAUCUAGUGAUUCCAACUUUGAGCUUUCCAUAGGAGGUAAUCGAUCAAUUGGCCAGGUAAGCAGGUGGGAGGCUCCCCUUACUCAGAGAGUAAGGUCCUAAUUAAGUAACCACCUUUGAGCUUGCCUAGACACCAAUUAGAUCAAUUAAUCAAAUAUGGCUAGCUCAAUGUAUCGUUCACUGUCGAUUGAUUUAGGGAGGUUUUAGAUCUCUUGGAAUUUACAUCUAAUAUAACCAUCUAUCCCAUACCAUAUGUCAUUCGAUUUACAUCUUAUGUAAAUGUCACAUUGGUUCAGGUUUACAUCCUAUGUAAUUAUGAAACCCUUUCAUAUAUUAUGUGAUUACAUCUUAUGUAAAUGACAUAAUUGUUUCAGUUUACAUCUUAUGUAAAUA